CGUCCGAACUUCUACAAUAAGUGGCCUCCUUCCGGACUCCUUCAAGAACCGGACUCCGUCCGAACUUCUACAAUAGAAUUGAAUUCCAGACUCCUCCAUCGAUCGACCUUCCACAGUGUCUUCAAGACUCCUCUAGUGGACAAACUUUCACAAUGCCUUUCGAACUCCACUAUCGAUCGAUCUUUUGCUGGAUUUCUCAUGAAAUCGGACCUCUCCAGCGGACAGUCUUCAGACGAGCUUCUACAUCAGAUAAAUUUCAGACAGACUUCUCUAGCAAUCGGACUCCUGUCGGACUUGUCCAACAGAAAGUUUCUACCCGAGCUUCUAUAGUAGAUGACUUCCGUCUGCAACAUCGACGACUAUGAAGCAAAAUUCAGUGCAGGGGUAAAAUGAU
rnacentral:lncRNA from 1 species